rnacentral:misc_RNA from 1 species
AUAACAAUAAAAAGAUAGCAUGGAAUUAAAGCCGCUGCUCCAAUUUACCAUACGCAGCAUUUGAUUACAGGAAUACCAAAAAACUACUACCGAUGACAGGUAUUAAUUAUUAAAAAGCACAGGUUCAGAUUAUUGCGACAAAAGUUUUUGAUACCCGUAAGAUUGGACGCUUGAUAGCCAAACCACACUCAGAACCCUAAAUAUGCAUACGGAGGAUGUCCAAUCGGAUCUUCAGCCACCACCAGAAGCAGAUCAGUACUUGUAGUCCUUGACGUGAAGG